ensembl:lncRNA
GCACGCGGCCUCGUGGUCGCCAGCCCGCGUAUCUCCGGCCGGCGCGACACUAGGCCAGCGCUGGUGGCUCGGAGGUGAAGCCCCGCCGUCUCUGAAGACGGUUAAGGGGGUCUUUACCCUCAAGACUAGGGCUGUCCGCGAGUGAGACUCAAACGCUGAGGUGAAAACAUCCGCGGAAUAUGGAGACCGAACCACACACAGGCCGACCACAAUGGAAGAAGGUGUUACUGGAGUUAGAGACUCUAGUGAAGCCCAGGUGGAUGCUGGAAAUCAAAUCCCCAGUCUUCAGGAAGACCAGUCAGCCUUGUAACUACUGAACCAUCUGGAUCCUGAUCCAGCCCCUCAACUAUAAUGUUAAUUGAUGUCCUUAUCCCAUGGCUUCUGUGAAUCCAUACACUGCUCAAGGAAAGCAAAACCUGUCACUUGCAGAAACCGACAUCUACAAAGUUUACAUUCUGUCUUCCAAAACCAUCUCCCUUUCCCCUAUAUGCAGAUGGACACACAGUAUAAGGGAGAAGAUUCCAACCUUGGUGGUUACAUUGUGUCUAAACUCCACAUUAAUUAUUAAUUAAGUAUUAAUUUCCAGC